rnacentral:rRNA from 1 species
CCUACGGGAGGCAGCAGUGAGGAAUAUUGGUCAAUGGACGAGAGUCUGAACCAGCCAAGUAGCGUGAAGGAUGACUGCCCUAUGGGUUGUAAACUUCUUUUAUAUGGGAAUAAAACGUUCCACGUGUGGGAUUUUGUAUGUACCAUAUGAAUAAGGAUCGGCUAAAUCCGUGCCAGCAGCCGCGGUAAUACGGAGGAUCCGAGCGUUAUCCGGAUUUAUUGGGUUUAAAGGGAGCGUAGGUGGAUGGUUAAGUAAGUUGUGAAAGUUUGCGGCUCAACCGGAAAAUUGCAGUUGAAACUGGCAGUCUUGAGUACAGUAGAGGUGGGCGGAAUUCGUGGUGUAGCGGUGAAAUGCUUAGAUAUCACGAAGAACUCCGAUUGCGAAGGCAGUUCACUGGACUGCAACUGACACUGAGGCUCGAAAGUGUGGGUAUCAAACAGGAUUAGAUACCCUUGUAGUC